rnacentral:rRNA from 1 species
NAAACUAGCCAGUCUUUUGGGUAUGAAACCCAUUUGGGCGAGAGUAGUACUAGGAUGGGUGACCUCCUGGGAAGUCCUCGUGAAAGGGUUUC